rnacentral:ribozyme from 13 species
AGACAAAUACUUUUUAAAUGACAAGAACAAAGAUAAGAAUCCCAUCCCCCCCUUUUCUGUUUCUCGAUUCUAUUUCUUUCUGCUUUCUUUUUCAUUCUUUCAAUCUCUUUCGUUUCAUCAAAAGAA